rnacentral:lncRNA from 10 species
CAGGAGGCUGGAGCCAUGUCUGAGCAGCAUGAGAAAGCCUACAUGAGGCCCCUGGCACAUCCGAGGUGUGUGGGGCACCGGGGCCCCCAGAAGAGGAGCCUUUGGAUCUGAUGGGAGCAAGGGCUCUACUGAGGCUGCCAGAGAUGCCCUCGGUAAUGGGGGUGACAUAGAGGUGCCAGCACAGCCUGUCAGGCAACGAGGGAAGGAGGGACGGUGGGUCUGACUCAAAGGACACGAGCUGCCUUUGCUGUAGUGCAACCGUGGCCCAUUGCUCAUUGUGCUGCUCUCAGGACUCAGAGUAUGGAAGCGGGACCAUUGCCGUUACAAACCCGCAGGGAAGGGGCUGAGCACCCGGAGGGCUGUGUGUGCACACAUGACGUUAUCGGAGUCAGGAAGGCAGCCAGCCGCGAGGAGAUGGGAAACUGGUCCACGGCACCCGGGGAGACCUUCACAGCCCACGCAUUAGCCCUCGUCAGCCGGUGUCCCGGCGCUCCCCACAAACCCAGACUCUCUCCUUGGCUAACAAUGGCCUCCACCAGCCGACCUCUUUGAGCCUCUGUGUUCUCAUUUCUUCCAUCUGCCACACAUGAUGCCACAAGGUCCCUGCUCUGUCUCUCCAACAUGCCACUCAUUCCUGACUCACAGCCUUCAUGCUCACACCCCUCCCUUGUCCUAUCCUCACUCUCAGUCAUCCUGUUCAAUGCCUUCAUGGCACUUAUCAUAAGCUCUUACGAUCAUGUUUAUAGGUCUGGUUUCAUUGUUGCUGUAGGGGGGUCUGUCUCCCCCAUUUAGGCCUAACAGGCCAGGAAUCUUGUCUGUCUGAUUUACUCCUAACAUAUGUUAAGUGUUCAAUAAAUUUUUGCUGAA